UACGGGGGGAGCAAGCGUUGUUCGGACUUACUGGGCGUAAAGGGCGCGUAGGCGGUCAGCACAAGUCAGUUGUGAAAUCUCCAGGCUUAACUUGGAAACUGCCAUUGAUACUAUCAAUCUUGAAUACCGUGGAGGUCAGCGGAAUAUGUCAUGUAGCGGUGAAAUGCUUAGAUAUGACAUAGAACACCAAUUGCGAAGGCAGCUGGCUACACGAAUAUUGACACUGAUGCACGAAAGCGUGGGGAUCAAACAGG
rnacentral:rRNA from 1 species